UACGUAGGAGGCAAGCGUUAUCCGGAAUGACUGGGCGUAAAGGGUGCGUAGGUGGUUUGGCAAGUUGGUAGCGUAAUCCCGGGGCUCAACCUCGGUGCUACUACCAAAACUGUUGAACUUGAGUGCAGGAGGGGUGAAUGGAAUUCCCAGUGUAGCGGUGGAAUGCGUAGAUAUUGGGAAGAACACCAGCGGCGAAGGCGGCCUGCUGGGCUUUUACUGACGCUGAGGCUCGAAAGUGUGGGGAGCAAACAGG
rnacentral:rRNA from 1 species